rnacentral:misc_RNA from 1 species
GAAAUGCGAUAAGUAAUGUGAAUUGCAGAAUUCAGUGAAUCAUCGAAUCUUUGAACGCACCUUGCGCUCCUUGGUAUUCCUUGGAGCAUGCCUGUUUGAGUAUCAUGAAAUCUUCAAAGUAAAUCUUUUGUUAACUCAAUUGGUUUCUACUUUGGUAUUGGGGUCUUUGCAGCUUCACACCUGCUCCUCUUUGUUCAUUAGCUGGAUCUCAGUGUUAUGCUUGGUUCCACUCGGCGUGAUAAGUUAUCUAUCGCUGAGGACACUGUAAAAGGUGGCCAAGGUAAAUGCAGAUGAACCGCUUCUAAUAGUCCAUUGACUUGGACAAUACUUUUAUGAUCUGAUCUCAAAUCAGGUAGGACUACCCGCUGAACUUAAGC